GGAGACGUCUUCGUGUCACGCUCCAGCUUCAGUCUCUUUGGCCUACUUAGGCGCAAUGUAAGUAGCACACUGAGCUGCUUUUCCUUUUCCCCGUGGGCUCAGGCUGAAUAAUUGAGUGGCGCCGAGGCAGGGUAAUAAGCGACGCGGCCGCUGUAAUAACCUGCCGGACGGCGCAGGAGAGCAGUAAUAGAUGGACGUGGACCGGACGCGUGCUGUGAAGGGAACCAGACGCCACCGUGAGCACGAAACAGCGUGAAACAGAACAAAGUGCUGGACCAGCAUCACCUGGACCCCAUCAGUUCUUAACCCACAGUCCUGAACCCUGAACCCUGGCCCGUCUCAUCGCUCUCAUGGAGGCCUGACCGAUGGCAGCUUGUUGACUCCACUGCUGGUUCACAGUCAAACGAGGAGCAAAGCCACACCUUGUACCUUUCACAGACGCAAACGACGCCUCCUGGUUUCUGAGACACGAGAAAUCAGAUGGGGACCGGAAAAGCCGUUCAUCAAAGAGCUGGAGUUGACAACUGUGGAUCACGCAGUGCGACCUGCAGGUGCGUGUUCCUCUUGUGUUGCCUUUGUUUGAAUGAACGCCAGUGGUUCAUGCACUCAUUUUUGUGAGGAUGCUGCGACGAGAAUCGCUUUACUGGUGUUACUUGCAUCAGUCUGCUGCAUGCAGCCAUAUCCUCUUCACCACCUAUAUCACUGCCCCCCUCCCCCUUCAUCCUCUUCCUCCUCCAUCAUUCUGUCCAUCUCUCCAUUAAGCGUUUUUGACAUUUAUCCACCCGUUGUGUUGACAACCGACAAAAGAGUGUCGCCCAGGAUGUUGCUUGACUUUGGUGGCUCCAGUAACAGCAUCACCCCGUUAUGCAGCUGACCAACUUCUGAUCUCUCUCACACACUGUCUGUGUGAUGGAUGUGCCUCCUCGGACAGAGCUGCUGCGCGUUGCAUCUUAACCUCUGCCUCACCUUCAGGAAAUCAACUCUGUCAAGGAGAGAAUUCCUGGUCAUGAAAUACUCUGCAGUAUGUAAAAACUCAUGAAGACGCCAAGAGUCUUUCCCCGUUUCCCCCUUACACAAACACACACACGCGCACACACACACACACACACACACACACACACACACACACACACACACACACACACACACACACACACACACACACACACACACACACACACACACACGGUCCUACUGGCUGAAUAAAGACCUUUUUGGUGGAGGCUGUCCUUUGUGCUCUGGGCUCAUUAAUGCUCUGAGAGUGUCCCUGUUACUGAGGACUAAGCCCUCGGCUCUUAUCAACAACACCAGGCCUGGUCCACACACACACACACACACACACACACACACACACACACACACACACACACACACACACACACACACACACACACACACACACACACACACAAUGGAUUAUGAAGAGUGUGAAUGAGGCACCAACAUCAGCUCCAAUAUCCCUUACAGGACAAUGAUAGACACCCCCUUUCGCAUCCCACUGCCACAGUCAUGGAUAUUAUGUGUGUGUGUAUGUGUGUGUGUGUGUGUGUGUGUGUGUGUGUGUGUGUGUGUGUGUGUGUAUGUGUGUGUGUGUGUGUGUGUGUGUGUGUGUGUGUGUGUGUGUGUGUGUGUGUGUGUGUGUGUGUGUGUGUGUGUGUGUGUGUGUGUGUGUGUGUGUGUGUGUGUGUGGUGGGUAUUGGUAAGAAGUGAGAUCGACUGUGUUCCAAAUGAUCCGCUUGGAUUUGUCCAUCGGUCUCUGUGUUGCUGUCAUCAAUAUGUCUUUUUUUGUGUGUAUGAGAACGUGUCGGUGUGUUUUGAUGGGCGUGUCAUGUUACUACUGGAUGAGGCCUAAUGUCUGGAUCGGCCGAGUGCACAAUCCACAUGUUGUGAGUCAAUUACCCACAUGUCCGAUGGAGGCAGUGUGUGGUCGGGAGCGUUUGAUGCUGUUGUUACAAAGUAUACAAUCUCUUCUGGAUGACAUUAUAUUGUUUGAAGCUGAAUUCAGUGGGAUUAACUUGAUGUCAGUGUAUAAUAAUGUAACAAUAAUAAGUAGUUUUAGGUGCAAACAACUUUAGGAUUCACCUCAUCUUAGUUGAAGAUUAUUGCUUUAUCUCCAGAGAGAGCAAACCACACUCACUAACACACACUCACAGUUGCCCGUACUUGAAUGUUUUAAUGUUAACUUGAAGGCCUUGGCAUUUCAGAACUUAUAAGUCGCAAAUUUUGUAUAUCAGCUUUUGUAUAUUGUUUGUUUAUGAUUACAAGAAUUGCCUCUUACUGUACUUCUCAUUCAUUUCAUUCCAGAAAUUGCAUUAUUAAAAAGUCAGUUUUCCAGGAA